AUAACUGUUUUUUCAAAGGCAGAAGGCACAACAUCUACUGAAGAGAAUAGAAGUUUCUGGUUUCGGUUGAGGGGUUUUUGGUGGUUUUGGCCCUGACCUGACCUUUCUCAGUCUUUAACCCCUGUGCUGCCUGGUAGGCAGUUUUCUGUCUAUGUAAGAGAUGCAUAUUCAGUUGUUCAGUCAACACAUACAGUUCAUACCAAGUAGAUUCUUAAGGCUGUUUGGGCUCUGAGAACAUGGGAGUGCGACAGGGUGUGUGUGAAUGGAAGAUAGACAGGAAGGAAGGAUAGAGUUCUUAGAACUCCAGAGGCACAAGGAAUUUGUUCUGCAUGGAAGGGCUACUUCAGUGUGACCUUGUAGAAUCAGAGGUAUUUGGAUAGGUGGAAAUAAACCAUGAACAUAAAGGCAUACCAGGGAGAGGCAAAGGCCAAAAUCUAGUGUGUGGAAAGCAGGUAAUGAGCAGAUCAGUUUUGCUGGGAUGCAUGUUCUUCAGGGAGUGUUGUGGAGGAUUCAGAUGGGAACAGUGGUUGUGCUGGAUGAUGAAAGGCCUGGGUAAUUGACUAGGUUGAAACCUAUUCCAAAGCAAGUGAAAUAAAUACAAAAAUUGACCAAUAUGAAAACAGGAUUCAAGCUGAAGUAUGAUCUCAUGGAACGCUUGACUUUCCCCAGUCCUCAAAGUCAAGCAGUGACUACUUCAGCACGGCGUUUGUCAAAUUGCAGGGCAUCACUUAUUAGAGAGUUUUACAAUUGAUUCAGUGGGUUGAGCCCAUUUCAUUUUAGAUGAAAAAAAAAAAAACUACAAAGUAGAUAAUAUCAUCUGUCACACUAAUAAGGAUAGAUACUAUUUAGAGAAACUUCCAUUUGCUAUAUAUAUACACACACACACACAUACACACACACACACGUGUGUGUGUGCUAAGUUGUGUAAAGUCUUCUUACUGUACUUUUGGUGUAAAAAAGUCUGUAGACUACUGCUUAUGGUGGCAUGAGGGAGCAGCUUUUACCUUAGAACAUUUGCGUCUUUCUAGAUGACUGUCUCUGGUUCUUCUUCCAAUGUCAAUGGCUGUCACUUGUUUCAGCUCCACCCACUUGACUGCUUUGUGCUUUAGCUGGCCCCUUCUGUGUUACCCAACUCUUGGAUCCCAUGGUGGUCUGUACUAGCAGCACAUGUUUUUAUUUUUCCAGAUUUCCUUUUGCUGUUUGUGGGCUUUUUCUUAACCCGGAACCAUCUCUUUAGCUCUAUUCAAAGGCAUCCUAAACUGAAGGUUCUUGCCACAGUUGAUCCUGAUGUAUAUUAUUUUGAAUAGAGACUCUUAUCACUUCUUUUCUGUCAGUGUUUUUCAUUGCAUUUUUGUAUGUUUUUUGAUCUGAAGUACAUUUAGAGGUUUCAGAUUACUAGUUAGUUCUUAAUGUUUUCUUUCUUGAUGGUUAGUCACCCUUGUAAUUUUAUGAGCGGGAUAAAGCUGCAGACUUCUUAAAAUAUGGGUUAAAAAUAAAAAGGAAGAUAUCUAAAGUUGUUUUUAGGAUUAAAAAAAUAAAUUGUAUUAUAUACUGAGAAAUAAAAGUUGAGAUUUGUCUAGCAGGUUAGAAAUUUGCAGGCAGAUUGACUGUGACAUUUUAAAUUCAGAAGUAUAUUUGUUUUGAAAUAAUAUACAUAUAAGUGUUUAGAAGCCAGGUAAGCCAGUCCAUUUCACCAGAAAUGGAAGAAGGAAAAAUAGAAAACAGCCAAAUGGUGAAUGGAGCCAGACUGCCAAGCUCUAACUUGAGGAGAUGAAGUGAGAUCUGUUUUGCAAACACAGCCUACUCAUGGUAUAAUUCUUUUUCUGGAAUUCUCAGUAUUUUAGGUUUUUUUUUUUAAAUACUCAUUGUUAAUUAUUUUUUGAAGCUGUAUUGAUUUAUACUUACCGUUAUUUAUUUCAUAAGAUACCCUGAUAUUUCUUAGCCACAGACUAACAGUUUCUGAAGGCCAGUUUCUUAAGACCCAGUGUGUGGAAAUCUCUGUUCUGCCAGUAAGAAGGAGCAUUGGUUGUUGGGCAGUUAGAACUUUCCCCAUAGUUUCUUCUGGAGGAAAUUUAUAUAUGCUUAAGGUUCUCUUAUUUAUAAAUAGAAAAAACUUUUGUUGUUGGACUCUAAGGCAGAUAUCAAGCAGAUCAAGCGCCGUCUGAGGAGGUCUUCUGGAGAAAACAGUGGGCAGUGAGUGUGGCUGAUGAGUCAUCCUGGGGCAGACAGAACAGUGCCCCUGCGGAGUGUCUCAUUGUUGACUGAUAGCUGCCCAGUCACUGCUGCCUACUUGGACCUUUGUUCAUUGUACCCCAUGCAAUACUUUCACUGAAACUUUACGUUUAAAUUAUUCCUUCAGUUUGUAUUGAGGAUCUUAUAAGAAACAGUUGUGUGAAAUUUCUUACUUUAUUUUAUGCAUUGCUAUCAUAUGAGUGUAUUAUCUAUGACCCAGUAAAUAAAUAACCAGUAAAAAAAUACUUUUUUAUAUGUAAAAUGUUAUGACUAUGGAAUCGUGUAAAAUCUUUAUAUACAUUUUUAAAGAUGAGUAAAAUGAAUACUUAUGUACCCAUGACACAGAUUAAAAAAAUAAAUAAAUUAUCAGAGCUUUCAUACUCUUAGCAUUCCUUCUUAAUGCAUUCUCUUUCCUUCCCUCAACCCUCAGAGGAAAUGGCAUCCUAACUUUUGGACCAAUGUUUUCCUUGUUUUUCUUUAUGAUUGUGCCACUCAUGUGCAUAUCCUUAAAUAAGGUGUAUUUAGUUUUGAAAACCUGAGUAUCAAGCACAAACCUAGCUGCUUAAAGGAGAGGACACUAUUGCCAUUGUUAGAUGAAAGUUCCCAGAAGAAGAGAGUUUCUGAGUCAUGGUCUUUAGGUUCCCUGAGGGAACUUUCUGAGGCCCUCAGGAGCUCAGCUGAGCUAUGGGAGGGAGCUGAGCUGUCAGGUAUGGGAGUGGCUGGUUAAAGGGACAGGCCAAAAGUGAGAGUUAAGCCUUUAAUCAUUUACUGUAAUGGUGUAAGUAGGAUGUGAGGACCAGGAUAUCUCACCCUCAUCAAAAGGGAGCAAAAGGCUCCUGCAGUUUGUGGUUCUUGAGGUGGUGGGGCAAAGGAGAAGGGCUCAGAGCCAAAGAGAGCAGAGUCUGAGUCAGAGUGGGGAACAGCCACUUUAAGGAGCCCCUCUCCACCAGGCCUCAGCAGAGAAUGGGACCAGGAAAUAAAGGUGCGUGGGCUAGGAAGGCAAAUAUAAGAAGAGGUUUAUCUCUCAGAAGUGGCUGAGUCGUUGACUGCAACUCCCCUGAGAGAAUA